rnacentral:rRNA from 1 species
AGUGAACGCUGGCGGCAGGCCUAAUACAUGCAAGUCGAACGGCAGCACAGCAGAGCUUGCUCUGUGGGUGGCGAGUGGCGGACGGGUGAGGAAUACAUGGGAAUCUGCCCAGUCGUGGGGGAUAACGUAUGGAAACGUACGCUAAUACCGCAUGCGCCCUUUGGGGGAAAGCCGGGGACCUUCGGGCCUGGCGCGAUUGGAUGAGCCCAUGUUCGAUUAGCUAGUUGGCGGGGUAAAGGCCCACCAAGGCGACGAUCGAUAGCUGGUCUGAGAGGAUGAUCAGCCCAACUGGGACUGAGACACGGCCCAGACUCCUACGGGAGGCAGCAGUAGGGAAUAUUGGACAAUGGGCGCAAGCCUGAUCCAGCCAUGCCGCGUGAGUGAAGAAGGCCCUCGGGUUGUAAAGCUCUUUUGUCCGGAAAGAAAAGCAUUCGGUUAAUACCCGGGUGUUCUGACGGUACCGGAAGAAUAAGCACCGGCGAACUUCGU